AGACCAUGAUGAGGACAACAUUGAAGUAAUUCUUUGUAUCUUUCUCGAGCAUCAUACAACAUUUCAGAAUCUUGCUGCAUGCAUGAUGUGAUAUCAUUCCUCAUUUU
rnacentral:snoRNA from 1 species